rnacentral:rRNA from 1 species
UACGUAGGGGGCAAGCGUUGUCCGGAUUUAUUGGGCGUAAAGAGCGUGUAGGCGGCCAGACAGGUCAGCUGUGAAAACUCGAGGCUCAACCUCGAGACGUCGGUUGAAACCGUCUGGCUAGAGUCCGGAAGAGGAGAGUGGAAUUCCCGGUGUAGCGGUGAAAUGCGCAGAUAUCGGGAAGAACACCCGUGGCGAAGGCGGCUCUCUGGGACGGUACUGACGCUGAGACGCGAAAAGCGUGGGGAGCGAACGAGG